UUAAUAUCACUCCGUCCGAAAAUGCUUAUCAUCAAAAUGGAUAAAAAAGAUACAUCUAGAUGUAUUUUAGUUCUAAAUACAUCACUCUUUAUCCAUUUUGAUGACAAGUAUUUUCGGACGGAGGAAGUAUAUU
rfam:Triticum aestivum genome assembly, contig: Triticum_aestivum_CS42_TGACv1_scaffold_146981_2BS